AGUGAACGCUGGCGGUAGGCCUAACACAUGCAAGUCGAACGGCAGCACAGUAAGAGCUUGCUCUUACGGGUGGCGAGAGGCGGACGGGUGAGGAAUACAUCGGAAUCUACUUUUUCGUGGGGGAUAACGUAGGGAAACUUACGCUAAUACCGCAUAUGACCUACGGGUGAAAGCAGGGGAUCUUCGGACCUUGCGCGAUUGAAUGAGCCGAUGUCGGAUUAGCUAGUUGGCGGGGUAAAGGCCCACCAAGGCGACGAUCCGUAGCUGGUCUGAGAGGAUGAUCAGCCACACUGGAACUGAGACACGGUCCAGACUCCUACGGGAGGCAGCAGUGGGGAAUAUUGGACAAUGGGCGCGAGCCUGAUCCAGCCAUACCGCGUGGGUGAAGAAGGCCUUCGGGUUGUAAAGCCCUUUUGUUGGGAAAGAAAAGCAGCAGGUUAAUACCCCGCUGUUCUGACGGUACCCAAAGAAUAAGCACCGGCUAACUUCGUG
rnacentral:rRNA from 1 species